rnacentral:rRNA from 1 species
GACGAACGCUGGCGGCGUGCUUAACACAUGCAAGUCGAACGGAAAGGCCCUGCUUUUGUGGGGUGCUCGAGUGGCGAACGGGUGAGUAACACGUGAGUAACCUGCCCUUGACUUUGGGAUAACUUCAGGAAACUGGGGCUAAUACCGGAUAGGAGCUCCUGCUGCAUGGUGGGGGGUGGAAAGUUUCGGCGGUUGGGGAUGGACUCGCGGCUUAUCAGCUUGUUGGUGGGGUAGUGGCUUACCAAGGCUUUGACGGGUAGCCGGCCUGAGAGGGUGACCGGCCACAUUGGGACUGAGAUACGGCCCAGACUCCUACGGGAGGCAGCAGUGGGGAAUAUUGCACAAUGGGCGGACGCCUGAUGCAGCAACGCCGCGUGCGGGAUGACGGCCUUCGGGUUGUAAACCGCUUUCGCCUGUGACGAAGCGUGAGUGACGGUAAUGGGUAAAGAAGCACCGGCUAACUACGUG